rnacentral:rRNA from 1 species
GGGAAUUUUGGACAAUGGGCGCAAGCCUGAUCCAGCCAUGCCGCGUGCAGGAUGAAGGCCUUCGGGUUGUAAACUGCUUUUGUACGGUACGAAAAGACUCCUCCUAAUAAAGGGGGUCCAUGACGGUCCCGUAAGAAUAAGCACCGGCUAACUACGUGCCAGCAGCCGCGGUAAUACGUAGGGUGCGAGCGUUAAUCGGAAUUACUGGGCGUAACGCGCGCGCAGGCGGUUGUAUAAGACAGAUGUGAAAUCCCCGGGCUCAACCUGGGAACUGCAUUCGUGACUGUAAAGCUGGAGUACGGCAGAGGUGGAGGGAAUUCCGCGUGUAGCAGUGAAAUGCGUAGAUAUGCGGAGGAACACCGAUGGCGAAGGCGAUCCCCUGGACCUGUACUGACGCUCAGGCGCGAAAGCGUGGGUAGCAAACA